CUGAGCAACCUGAAGCAUAUUUAUACAGAUUAAGUGGUUUCUAAUACUCCAAAGAGCACUUAAUCUGCAUGAAUGUGCUUCAUGUUGCUAUGU
ensembl:miRNA